CAGCAGCCACGGUAAUACGUAGGGUGCGAGCGUUAAUCGGAAUUACUGGGCGUAAAGCGUGCGCAGGCGGUUGUGUAAGACAGGUGUGAAAUCCCCGGGCUUAACCUGGGAACUGCGCUUGUGACUGCACAGCUAGAGUACGGCAGAGGGGGGUGGAAUUCCACGUGUAGCAGUGAAAUGCGUAGAGAUGUGGAGGAACACCGAUGGCGAAGGCAGCCCCCUGGGCCAAUACUGACGCUCAUGCACGAAAGCGUGGGGAGCAAACAGGAUUAGAUACCCCCGUAGUCCCUGUCUCUUAUAC
rnacentral:rRNA from 1 species